rnacentral:tRNA from 1 species
GGGGAAAUGGCUCAGUGGUUAAGAGCACCCGCUGCUCUUCUGGAGGACCUGGGUUCAGUUCCCAGCAUCCACA